rnacentral:misc_RNA from 1 species
GAUGAAGAACGUAGCGAAAUGCGAUAAGUAGUGUGAAUUGCAGAAUUCAGUGAAUCAUCGAAUCUUUGAACGCACAUUGCGCCCUAUAGUAUUCUGUAGGGCAUGCAUGUUCGAGCGUCAUUUGUACCUUCAAGCUUUGCUUGGUGUUGGGUGUUUGUCCUCUCCCUGGUGUUUGGACUCGCCUUAAAACAAUUGGCAGCCAGUGUUUUGGUAUUGAAGCGCAGCACAAUUUGCGAUUCUGGCCUUAAAAUACUAGCGUCCAUAAGUACAUUCUCACUUUUGACCUGGGAUCAUGUAGGGAUACCCGCUGAACUUAAGCAUAUCAAUAAGCGGAGGA